rnacentral:lncRNA from 1 species
UUCCAGUCUGCCUCUCUGGUCCCGCUGCCAGCUACUCCUUGCCCCUCAGUUUCCUCAUGCAGAAGCACACUGUUCACUGCACAUGCAUUUAAUCUUUGGUGCCUCUGUACUUGGAAACCUGGACUCCCUUCCUACCCUUCUAACUCCCUGGUGACCUUCUACUUACCUGCAAGGUCCAAAUAAAAUGUCAGGGCUCUCUGACCCUCUUUAUCCAUUUAUAUUCCCGUAGAGCAUAAUAACAAACUCUAAUUAAGUACUUACUCAAGUGUCUUAUGGGAACUGAUUUAUUGUCUGCCUUUCCUGCUUCUUAGUGAAACCCUUGAGGACAGAGGUCAUGACUCAUCCCUCAUUAUCUCUCUCAUUCCCAACACAGAUCCUGGAACACUGCAGGACGCCAGUGGCCAUAUGCUGAGUGAAACCAGUAGGGAUGAUGUGCACAUGGUCCAGAGAGAACGGGACAGUAGGACUCAGGGAUACAGUAGGACUUUGGGGUGAAAGAGCAGGAUGUGGCAUCUGUGUCAAGUGAAACAAUCUUCUCCCCCCUGGAAAACUAAAAAUAAAAUUCUAAGCCCCCAACUGAUGGGACAAAUUCCCUCUUGGCCAAGCGGAUCCCAGGGAAACCUUAAAAACUGAGUUCCUGGCCAUGAAAAGACAGGAGGUAAGACACACCUCGUUAUAUAUCUUCUCUUUUGCAGUUUAGACAUAACAAAUGACCAGCACUAAUGUUAAACUAGAGAUCACGGGACUGACAGAAUGGACUCUUUGUGGCAAUAAGAUACCAAACUACAAAUAAGACCUAAGGCCAUGCCAGGCAAGAGUUAAGUCAUGUACCUUACACUCAAAGAAUAAACUGUGUUCUAACUUCCCAGGGGAUUUUCUUUUUCUCUAGCAGUUAAACAAGCACUGGCCUCAAGGUAAGUAAUAUUAAAAUAAUGACAAUGCAUCCAGCUCACAGAUGCUGACUAUAUGACCCCCUGUUCCGCCAGCCAUGACUAAAGCUUUGAUUGGACAAGAGACUAAUUUCAGUAACUUUCUCUAGCUACGAAGACCACCGACCAUGGACUGGGCUCUGGCUAGUUUACAAAGGCUGCACAUUGGAGUGCCUUUGUGUCCCGAAAAGACCUUUUGACAGACAGGGCCUAAUUGUAAUUCACUGAAAUGUUAAAUCUCUACUCCAAGGU